CAGGACUCGCAAGACUCCUACAACCCUGUGAACUUACUAUAAGCACGUUGCUUCGGCGGGUGUCGCCCGAGGGAUCUCGCUCCCGCGGCGCGUAAGCCCGCCGGCAGCCUACUAUACUCUGUCUCUUUGCGUUGGCAUCUCGAGUAAAAAUCAAACAAGUUA
rnacentral:misc_RNA from 1 species